GUUCCUCUUUAUUGAACUUUGAAGGGAAAGAUGUGACAGGUGUUUUAAAGAGGGUUAAAACAAAGUUGAAGUGUUUGAUUGUCUUUGUCAGAAAUUAGAUCUAGCUUUUUUCUGAAAAUAUUACACUUACAUAUCCCUUUUAUCAAUUCAUGCCCACACAAGUAAAUCACACGAAACACAAUGAAAUAACAUUAGAAAUACAGUAAUGCUCAGUUUGCUUGCUUACACUUUGUUGCUACAGCAAGAUAUACGUCCCGUUUCUGCUCAUUCCUUUUCUAUGAGCCAAUCUCUAUCAUCAGCAGGCAACAGAGUGGAGCGGAGUUUCCUCCACACUGCGGCUUGGAUUGGUCUUCUGUGGUCUGAGAGCAAUAAAAUUAGUGGUUGGAGCUAUGCAGACACACCCAGUGAUGUCUGAUUACAGAGAAACUGAGGCUGUACACUGGGAAGAACCCCCACCCCGCCUCCACCCCAGCCAUCUUGGUGUGUUGCCUCCCAAAUAAACAGUUAAGAUUCAGCCAACUGAGCCAAAAAAGUUUUGUCAAAGCACAGAGUCAUGUGAUUUGAAGUGAUUGGUGAGAGUUGAGCUCCAGUUGCCUUUCAUGUGAUGUGCAGCAUAGUACAGUGUGCACAGUGGACUUAACCUCUAAGUUCCUCUUUCUACCAUGACUUUCUUACCCUUUGUUUGCAAUAAGAUCACAUUUUUAUAUAAUAUUAUUUCCCAAUAUGUCAUUCAGAGUUCUCACCCAGGUUGAAGUAUGAUGAAUAGUUAUUGCUUCCCCUUUAAAUGUCUGUUUCUACCAGAUAUUUUUAAGAGCUCAACCAAAGGCAGAACUUCAACAGAUUGUGGUUUCUUUUGUUGGCAUUUGGUUCUGCUUUCAAACUUAAGAUUUCUAAAUGUUUUGUAACUUUUUAAUCUUCAAUUUCCCUGUUUGGCAUCUAUCACUUUUAUCAUUUAUGUUCAGGAAAAGGUUUAACUCUAAACAGACACCAGGCUUGGUUUCCCAAACCAUCACCAACCCUCCACUUCAAAAGCAUGAGAAAACUGUGUGAAUGAGAAAAUGACUGAAUGUAAAAAGAUGUUGUUUAUCCUAGAAAAGCAACUACUGUAGUCAUUUGUACAGAAUUGCUUAUUUUCUGAAACCUGAGCCUCAAAUGUUUGUACACACUGUACAACAAAGUUUGGGCCAUGUAAUCAGUGGAAAUUAACUGAAAAUACACCGAUCAACCACGAUAUUAAAACCACUGACAGGUGAAGUGAAUAACAUUGAUUAUCUUGAUAAAAUGGCACCUGUCAAUGGGUAGUAUAUUUUAGGCAGCAAGUGAAAAGUCAGUUCUUGAAGUUGAUGAUACAAGGUGUUGAAGCAGGAAAAAUAGGCAAGUGUAAGGAUCUGAGAGACUUUGACGAGGGUCAAAUUGUGAUGGCUAGAUGUG